AGACAAGGGCCUGUUUGAACCUUCAACGUGCGUGGGUCAAAUGAUUGUUUAGGAAGUCUGUAUGAUGACGAAAAAACUGCAGGUGACUAGAAGCUGCCGAUGAGCUGCCAGUCCGGAUGGCAGCUAUCAACACGGCAAGGGCCUGCAGGCGCAUCAGCCCUCCCCCCGUUCCUCUACUGCCAUUGGAGACAGGAUGCUUUGUAAAAGAUUGUUUCUUUUCUUCAGUGGGAGCUCAUGAAGGUGGCACUGUGCACAGAGGGACAGAGUGGCUGACAGUGAGCUGCCCAAGACAACCUACUGGCUCUCGUGACCAUCUCCGAAAGCCUUUGGAUGGGCUAAUUGACAGGCAUGCCUGGACAUUUAUAAACGGUAAACACAAUCUAGACUACCUUUGAAUUACGCCUUGGUCUAACUGCUGUUGCCAGGAUACCAUGU